rnacentral:rRNA from 1 species
UUUAACAUGAGAGUUUGAUCCUGGCUCAGGAUGAACGCUGGCGGCGUGCUUAACACAUGCAAGUCGAACGGAGUAAUUUCGCUGACGAGACUUCGGUCAAAUCUUGAGAUUACUUAGUGGCGGAC